UACGAAGGGGGCUAGCGUUGCUCGGAAUGACUGGGCGUAAAGGGCGCGUAGGCGGAUGUUUUAGUCAGGCGUGAAAUUCCUGGGCUCAACCUGGGGGCUGCGUUUGAGACGGGAUGUCUAGAGUGGGGAAGAGGGUCGUGGAAUUCCCAGUGUAGAGGUGAAAUUCGUAGAUAUUGGGAAGAACACCGGUGGCGAAGGCGGCGACCUGGUCCUUUUUACUGACGCUGAUGCGCGAAAGCGUGGGGAGCAAACAG
rnacentral:rRNA from 1 species